UCAAGAGGAAAAUACACCAUGAAAAGCUCUGAAAGCCCUGAGGUCAAGGAUCUGAAGUUACCCACAAUAUUAAUGACAAACCAGUGGCUGUGCCAUGGCAACGGACAGAAGAAUAUGUGGCGUGGAAACCGGUGUACCUGUGCAGAUGGGAACAGGCAGAACCAAGUCUUGCUUCUCUCUUUCUGAGCUGGCCAGACACAAGCUGGUUCUGGUCCAGAUGCCGUGGAGGUGCAUUAGCAGAGUGUGGAGCCAGACCUAAUACUCCCUGCCCUGUGGCACAGUUUGAUGCUCUGGACAAGAAGCUUCAGACUUGAAACAACCAGAGCGUAAGGUCCCGCAGUGCCUCUGUUCAUAGCCUGCUUGCUUUGCAAAGUGCUCAUUCCUCCUGCGGACUGCUCGGAAUUUAUUUUUUUUUUUUCUGAUAGCUCAUUUACUGGGAGUGUAACCUGACCUUUAAGGGGUUCAUGUUCAAUUGCCCCUGUGCCACUUUCUGGUCACAGAGCAAAGAUCUCCAACAGCUGAGAAGGCAGUACAGCUGAUGAGGAUGUUUCCAGCUAAACCCCUUAGCAGAAGGAAAAAGAAACACUGGAGUUUCUCAGAAAGCCACAGGCAAACGAGUGAUCUCUUAAGGAGUAUCCAUUUGCACCUCUCCGCCAACUUGCCUCUAGGUCAUAACACCCUUUAUAAGAAGUUUUAUACUGUUGCCACAAUUGUGGUUUGGGGAUCUACCAAUAAUGGAGUCUUUAGGGUAAAAUAAAUAUGAUUAUACCUGUCAACCCCAGUGACUAUCUUCAUAUGUAGCUUGCAAGCUUAUCACAUAAAUAAUUGACGCCAUGGUUCAUAUUGUGCCAUUGAUUAGCUAGCUGCUGACUGAAACAUCCACCC